rnacentral:rRNA from 1 species
GACGAACGCUGGCGGCGUGCUUAACACAUGCAAGUCGAACGAUGAAGGAGAGCUUGCUCUCCGGAUUAGUGGCGAACGGGUGAGUAACACGUGACUAACCUGCCCCUUUCUCUGGGAUAACGCUCCGAAAGGAGUGCUAAUACCGGAUACGAACUCUGAACACAUGUUCGGAGUUGGAAAGUUUUUCGGAAAGGGAUGGAGUCGCGGCCUAUCAGCUUGUUGGUGAGGUAAUGGCUACCCAAGGCGACGACGGGUAGCUGGCCUGAGAGUGCGACGGGCCAGACUGGGACUGAGACACGGCCCAGACUCCUACGGGAGGCAGCAGUGGGGAAUAUUGCACAAUGGGCGAAAGCCUGAUGCAGCGACGCCGCGUGAGGGAUGACGGUCUUCGGAUUGUAAACCUCUUUCAGUAGGGACGAAGCGAAAGUGACGGUACCUAAAGAAGAAGCACCGGCUAACUACGUGCCAGCCGCCGCCGUAA